UGCAAGUCGAACGGAGUUAAGCGCUGAAUUGAAGGUAGCUUGCUACUGGAUUUCUGCUAACUAGUGGCGGACGGGUGAGUAACGCGUGAGUAACCUGCCUCUCGAGUGGGGAAUAACGCCCUGAAAAGAGCGCUAAUACCGCAUAAUAUAUUUUUGCCGCAUGACAGGAAUAUCAAAGAUUUAUCGCUGAGAGAUGGACUCGCGUCCGAUUAGCUAGUUGGCGGGGUAACGGCCCACCAAGGCGACGAUCGGUAGCCGGACUGAGAGGUUGAACGGCCACAUUGGGACUGAGACACGGCCCAGACUCCUACGGGAGGCAGCAGUGGGGGAUAUUGCGCAAUGGGGGAAACCCUGACGCAGCAACGCCGCGUGGAGGAUGACGGUUUUCGGAUUGUAAACUCCUUUUAUAAGGGACGAACUAAGACGGUACCUUAUGAAUAAGCUCCGGCUAACUACGUGCCAGCAGCAGC
rnacentral:rRNA from 1 species